UACGUAGGUGGCAAGCGUUAUCCGGAAUUAUUGGGCGUAAAGCGCGCGCAGGCGGCUUCUUAAGUCUGAUGUGAAAUCUUGCGGCUCAACCGCAAGCGGUCAUUGGAAACUGGGAGGCUUGAGUGCAGAAGAGGAGAGUGGAAUUCCACGUGUAGCGGUGAAAUGCGUAGAGAUGUGGAGGAACACCAGUGGCGAAAGCGGCUCUCUGGCCUGAGACUGACGCUGAGGUGCGAAAGCGUGGGGAUCGAACAGG
rnacentral:rRNA from 1 species